rnacentral:lncRNA from 1 species
UUAAUUGAUAGAAUAAAUUAUGACAAGGUGAAAUGCAUAUAAAAUGGUAAAAUAUACAACUCAAUAAAUUCAACAAAGUUUAAUCUAUUGAGUUGGGGAAAAGGGAAAUGAAAAAAAAAAAAAAAUAAAUAAAAUAAAAUAGUAAAUAAAUAGUAAAUAUAUAGUAAAUAAAUAGUAAAUAAAUAGUAAAUAAAUAGUAAAUAAAUAGUAAAUAAAUAGUAAAUAUAUAGUAAAUAAAUAGUAAAUAAAUAGUAAAUAAAUAGUAAAUAAAUAGUAAAUAAAUAGUAAAUAAAUAGUAAAUAAAUAGUAAAUAUAUAGUAAAUAAAUAGUAAAUAAAUAGUAAAUAUAUAGUAAAUAAAUAGUAAAUAAAUAGUAAAUAUAUAGUAAAUAAAUAGUAAAUAAAUAAAGUUGUAACUCUAUCACUUGUUCAACUCCAUUUCCUCCAAGAACAACCGGUGUACCUGCGAAAACAUCCUUGUGUCCAUAUUGGCCUUCUAAUAAUGUAGCACAAAUUAAUACUUUUUUUAAGUCGGUAAGAUAUGAUUCGGCCAUUUCUAUAGCACCAGUAGCAGGUGCAACAAAAGGAGAAGCAUAUAAGUUGACAAUUUCUAAAGCAGUGUUAACAGUUUUAUCACAAAUUGCAUCAAUUUCAGCAUCGGUACUCCUGAGUUUUGAUAUAAUAACUGUACCAUAACAUCUACUGGAUUUGUUAUAACAAUAAUAAAUGCAUUUGGACAAAGUUUUUUAAUAUUACC